ACGGCCUAUAAAAGUCAGUGCAGAGUCACUCAGCUGUUACUGAGUCUGAGACAUUCAACAGGACUCUCCUCUGAUUCAUCACUUAACCAAGCAAUACGGCACAAUAAUCCAGCACGAGACUCCCUCACAGCUGCAAACGUCUAACCAGGUGGAGCACUGCCAUAAAGGACAAAACACUCCUGCUUGAGCGCAUGAAACUGAGUAAAUGAUGAGGCUUUCUGUUCUUCUGAUGUUCCUCUUGGCUCUGGCUCACAGCUCUGGCUCUGGUUCACGUUGUAAGGGAAACUGGAAAAACCAAAAAGGCUACACUAAAUUCUCAGAAAAGCACAUUCUGUCAGAGGAUAUUAAAGGAAAACUGAAACCGAAAGAACUAAAUAACAUAUUUGAAAGAUACCUACAAAAACAAGAGCUCUGUGGAAGAGUACCUUUGCAGACCUUCUUUAGACGGACUGACGGAAAGAGAGUUGAAAGCAUCUGUAACGGUCACGGCUUUGCAGAUGGUUCUGGAAAUCUGUGCAUCAGUGAGCAGAAGUUCACUGUUUACAUGGUGGAAAGCAGGAAAAUCAAAAGUGGUUGUAAAGUAAGUAGAGUUAAUAUCGAGACCCUGUAUGUGGUUGUUGGCUGUGGAAAGAUUAAAGACAAAUGUCUGCCUGUCCACUUUGAUAAUCAGACCUCUGUGGCACCAAAACCAGAUGCUGUUCGUUGUAAACCAAAGCAGCUCAUUCAUUCUGCACCUAAACACAAAACCUUCUUUUGGUUCUAUUUGUCUUCUUCCAAGCUUCCCACUGCUGGAUAAAAGUCUCUGCUAGAAAAAUCUAUGCUAAUUAUACACUCACCGGCCACUUUAUUAGGUACAAUUGCUUGUUAACACAUAUAGCUAAUCAGCCAAUCACACGGCUGCAACUCACUGC